rnacentral:rRNA from 1 species
UGGGGAAUUUUGGACAAUGGGCGAAAGCCUGAUCCAGCAAUGCCGCGUGUGUGAAGAAGGCCUUCGGGUUGUAAAGCACUUUUGUCCGGAAAGAAAUCCUUGGCUCUAAUACAGUCGGGGGAUGACGGUACCGGAAGAAUAAGCACCGGCUAACUACGUGCCAGCAGCCGCGGUAAUACGUAGGGUGCAAGCGUUAAUCGGAAUUACUGGGCGUAAAGCGUGCGCAGGCGGUUUGCUAAGACCGAUGUGAAAUCCCCGGGCUCAACCUGGGAACUGCAUUGGUGACUGGCAGGCUAGAGUAUGGCAGAGGGGGGUAGAAUUCCACGUGUAGCAGUGAAAUGCGUAGAGAUGUGGAGGAAUACCGAUGGCGAAGGCAGCCCCCUGGGCCAAUACUGACGCUCAUGCACGAAAGCGUGGGGAGCAAACAGGAUUAGAUACCCUGGUAGUCCACGCCCUAAACGAUGUCAACUAGUUGUUGGGGAUUCAUUUCCUUAGUAACGUAGCUAACGCGUGAAGUUGACCGCCUGGGGAGUACGGCCGCAAGGUUGAAACUUAAAGGAAUUGACGGGGUCAUAGCUGUUUCCU